rnacentral:ncRNA from 1 species
GCUUCAGGGCAGGGGGAAGUUCCCGACCGGCGGUUUAGCCCGCGAGUGCCAGGUACAUCGUUUCGGAUGGUUUGUUCAUGAAAAAACGUUGUACGGAUGACACAUGAUCCGGUGUAAUUCCGGAGCCGACAGUACAGUCUGGAUGGAAGAAG